AGUGAACGCUGGCGGUAGGCCUAACACAUGCAAGUCGAACGGCAGCACAGUAAGAGCUUGCUCUUACGGGUGGCGAGUGGCGGACGGGUGAGGAAUACAUCGGAAUCUACUUUUUCGUGGGGGAUAACGUAGGGAAACUUACGCUAAUACCGCAUACGACCUACGGGUGAAAGCAGGGGAUCUUCGGACCUUGCGCGAUUGAAUGAGCCGAUGUCGGAUUAGCUAGUUGGCGGGGUAAAGGCCCACCAAGGCGACGAUCCGUAGCUGGUCUGAGAGGAUGAUCAGCCACACUGGAACUGAGACACGGUCCAGACUCCGACGGGAGGCAGCAGUGGGGAAUAUUGGACAAUGGGCGCAAGCCUGAUCCAGCCAUACCGCGUGGGUGAAGAAGGCCUUCGGAUGGUAAAGCCCUUUUGUUGGGAAAGAAAAGCAGCAGGUUAAUACCCCGCUGUUCUGACGGUACCCAAAGAAUAAGCACCGGCUAACUUCGU
rnacentral:rRNA from 1 species